UUGCUCAGCACAGAACCUGACAUGGGGCUCGACCCACAACCCUGGGACCAAGACCUGAGCCGAAAUCAAGAGUCAAAUGCUCAACCGACUGAGCCACACAAGCGCCCCUGUAGCCACCUUAGCUUCUAUGCAGUGCAGGUUCUAUCUGCUUAACACACACCAACGCCAAUAGACUGUAUUUGGAGCUCCCUUUCUUGUGUUGGAAACUGCUUUCAAGCAGUAAGCUCACACAAGAGUAAAACUCACUUUGUGCUGCCUGUUAUCUGAUGUCUGAAAAACACAUUUUUAAAUAUAUUUGGUCCAAUUUUCAAAUUGUUUAAGGAGGAGGGGUCUCUAACGGUUCUUCGGUUCGAGCCCUACGUUAGGCUCUGUGCUGACAGCACGGAGGCUGCUUGGGAUUCUCUCCCUCUCUCUCUCUGUCCCUCCCCUGCUCUCUCUUGCUGUCUCAAAAUAAAUACAAUUAAUGGGCAUUGAGGAGGGCCCUUGUUGGGAUGAGCACUGGGUAUGGUAGGUAAGCCAAUUUGACAGUAAAUUAUAUUAAGAUAAAUAAGUAAGUAAAUAAAUAAACUUAAAUUUUAAAAAUUUGUUUAAGGAGGAAGGGCAAAUCUGGUCCUAUUGUUCCAUCGUGGCUGGAAGCAGAAGUCACAGCUGGAGACAGUUUGGUAGAUGGAGAAAACAUUGAGCAGAUUCACAAGAUUUAUUAGAAUUGUGAUAUGACUUUGCUGUUCUGGGGGAAAUCAGAGUGCUCCCUGCCUCUGAGGCCGAUGCACUGAGGAGGUCAAGGGAGCUUGCUCCAGCAACUUCUUCACACCCGGCUUAGAAGGAGUUUCUCCCAGCACAUUCCUAUCCCUAAAGAACACCCUUGCUUCCCAUUCCAGAACAAUGCUUUCUCUGCCAGCCAGCCUGUUGAUACUAACCAGAGCUUGACCAGCCCCUGCAACCCAGUUCCUUACCCGGACUUUUACAUUUCACGUGUGCUAAGUCGAGCAUCCUUAAAGAGAGAUUUAAAAAAAAAAAAUUUUUUUUUUAAUGUGUAUUUAUUUUUGAAUGAGAGAGAGAGUCAAGAGUGAGAGCAGGAGAGGCAGAGAGAGUUGUCACCGCAGAGCCCGAAGCGGGGCUGGAACCCACAAACCUUGAGAUCAUGACCUGAGCCAAAGUCAGAUGCUUAACCGACUGAACCACCCAGGCACCCCAAAGAGAGAUUUUUUUAAAAACAUUAUUGAUGCAACAAAUGGCAUUUCCUUCAGGCUUUUCUUUUUCCAUUUUUUUUUUUAAUGUUUAUUGAUUAUUUUUGAGAGAGACAGAGAGAGUAAGAGCAGGGGAAGGGCAGAGAGAGACGGAGACACAGAAUCCGAAGCAGGCUCCAGGCUCCGAGCUGUCAGCCCAGAGCCUGACGUGGGGCUCGAACCCACAAACCGUGAGAUCAUGACCUGAGCCGAAGUCGGAUGCUUAACCGACUGAGCCACCCAGGCGCCCCAAAGAGAGAUUUUUUUUUAAAACAUUAUUAAUUCAACAAAUGGCAUUUCCUUCAGGCUUUUGUUUUUCCAUUCUUUUUUUAUUUAAAAAAAAAUUUUUUUUUAACGUUUAUUUUAUUUUUGAGACAGAGAGAGACAGAGCAUGAACGGGGGAGGGACAGAGAGAGAGGGAGACACAGAAUCGGAAGCAGGCUCCAGGCUCCGAGCCAUCAGCCCAGAGCCCGACGCGGGGCUCGAACUCACGGACCGUGAGAUCGUGACCUGAGCUGAAGUCGGACGCUUAACCGACUGAGCCACCCAGGCGCCCCUGUUUUUCCAUUCUUAAAGGCAAGCACCCUCGGAACCAAAGUGUUUACAGUAUUCUCUCUCAUCCAGUAAUUACCAAGCCAGCUUCAAGAGAUGCCCGGCAGUCUCGGUCUUCCUUUACAGCUUGAUUUCUUUCACUGCAUUUUCUACUGAAUGAUGAUGUGUGGUUUCUGAAAACGGACCAUUCACUCCUUGCCCGAGGAAAUGGCAUGUUCUGGAGAAGAAGUGUGGAAGACAGAGACCCAGACUGAUUUCCGACCUAAGCUGGGCUCUUGGGGCAGCACUGGGGCACAAAUCAGUCUGCUUCCCUGUGGCUCAGGGUCAGCGGGGGGACCAGAUCCAAACAGGCAGGCUCGGGGCUGGCACCUUUCCAGAGUUCCAGGAGCCAUCUGCGGGGGUGAGCGGAGUCUUCUAGAGGGUCUGGGAUGGGACUCACGUGAGCUCACGACACCCCCUUUCUACUGCCAUUACCCGCCCACCCUCUGUGAGCUUCAUAGGAGCAGGAACCGGCCUUACGUACCUCCCCACUGGCGCGGCGGCCGGCAGAGCGGUCCCUUGAUGGUUAAGCGUAGGUUAAACUGCUUCAUCCGGGAAGACGAUGUUUAGGGCUACAGUUUCCAGUUGGCUUUUCCUCAACUCCCAGCCGAGAGCAGAACGGGAGGGGGGAUGGCAGGAGGAGACAGUGGCGUGGCACCGAAACUUCAACGAAGUCAAAGGUCUUAACUUUAACGGUUAUUUGAAGUAGGUCUGGACUGCUUUUUCUUUUCCUGGGCGGAGCUGCUUAGCCAUUUCAAUGUUUGAUAUCUGCUAAAAGCAUUGAACGUUUUUAAGCACAAUUACUUGCCCUAACGUGGCCCGGAAAGAAAGAAGUAGGAACGGGAUUUCCCUGACUCCUGCCCCCUCACAGAGCUCUGGACCACACAGGUGCCCUUUGAUCUGCCGACCUUCGAACGUGUUGGGUUUCUUGGGUUACAAAAAAGAGCAUUUUGCUCCCUCUGCAUCCACGACCUUCUUCCUUCCUUCCUUUCAAUCCCGUGAUACCAGGGCGUUUGAAUGGAAGUGGGAAGGAAACAUGCGACCAACUCUGUGCUUGCAAUAAGGACCUUGAAGUGACCCGGAGGCCAGUGUCACCAUCCUUCCCAUUUUUCCUGCCGACCUUUCUGUCGCUUACCGGGUGCCAGGCCACCACGUCCCCAGUCCCGCUCCUAUCACGGGAGUAACAGUAUCAAGGGUAGGAAACAUGUCCCCCUGUGUCCCAACCACCAGCUCACUUGCCUGUAUCCUCACUAACUCGGGUCUCCGUAAGUGAGCUCGGCGCCUAGCACUCUAUAAGCACGUAAUACGUUCCGUGAAGACAAGGGGUGAGUCCUUAAAUUUCCUAAGUGCUUUCUAUAUGUCAGCCCCCACCUCACCAUCUGUCUUAAUCCUCCCCACAAUCUUAGGGCACAGACGUUAUUAUUAUUACUCCCGUUCGCCACACGACGAGGCUGGUGCUUAAGAGGUUUGCAUCUUGCCCAAGACGCACAGCUCUCAGGCAGAGCCGGGAUUCAAUUUCGGCCUCUCUUCCCCUACAGCUUUCGUCUUUACCUCCACAGUGGAUCAGUGAGCCCACGAUGCCCCCAUUAAGUCCCGGAGGGAGGCAGGAAGGGGAGCAGCGAUUGGGACAAAGCCGAUGCUGAGGGUGGCAGAGGGGAGACCGUCAGAAGUUGGGGCUGGAUGUGGACCUACCCGCCUGGAAGACUGCUCCCCUCUUGACUUUCCAGUUACGUAGAAAAUAAAUAUCCUUGGGGCGCCUGGGUGGCUCAGUCGGGUAAGCAUCUGCCUUUGGCCCAGGUCAUGAUCUCAUGGUUCGUGAGUUGAAGCCCCGCAUCCGGCUCUGUGCUGACAGCACGGAGCUCAUGUCAGAUCCUCUGUCCCCUUCUCACUCUGCCCCUACCCAGCUCUCUCUCUCUCUCUC